GGGGCAAAGGGGUCCCCGAGAGUGCUCGGGAAAGGGUGUAGGCGGAGGUCAGGUGUAGGCCUAGAAACUCGGGGUGCGACACGACCCUGGGCCGACCAGGCCGCGGCGCCCCGCCCUUUCCCGGGACGCGGGGCCGGCUCGGGGCGGGGAGCGGGCGGGCGAGCGGACGCUUACAGGUCGGUGCCGAGCCGCGUGAAGCCGGAGUUGAGCGAGGCCCGGGCUAUCCGGCGCCAGAGCAGAUCGCAGCUGGUGAAGCGCCGCAGCCAGCGGCACACCUGGGCCAGGCGGCCGAGGGCCCGCAUGUCCAGCAGCUGUUUGAAAUACAAAUAGAUGAAUGAGGAAAAUCCCCUAUGUUUAAAAUCCACCAUGAAGAGAAAAGCAGGAAGAAGUUCAAGCUAGCCCCUGGGGAUUUUCCCAGGUUCAGUAGAUUGACCUGGAAACAAGGAGUGCAGCUUGAGCUCUUCUUCCUUUAGCAGAACAAGCACUGGUCAGAGAAAUUUCCAAACACAUGGAGCUUAGCGAGACCACCUGCUCCUAACACAGGACAAUGGCCACUGGACCACCAACUCUGUUGCUUCAAGUCAACACCAGCUCUCCUUCACAACAGAUGACAGGCUUUCCGCUAGAAGAGUUUCCCAGUAAAAGAGUGAGCAAAGAAAUGCUAAACUUCACAUCUGCAAUAGAAGCUGAUAAAUGAGAAGUGAAAUGGACAAAUUAAAAAGCUGAAACUGAA
rnacentral:lncRNA from 10 species